rnacentral:rRNA from 1 species
UACGUAGGGUGCGAGCGUUAAUCGGAAUUACUGGGCGUAAAGCGUGCGCAGGCGGUUCGUCAAGUCUUGUGUGAAAGCCCCGGGCUCAACCUGGGAAUGGCAUGGGAAACUGGCGAGCUGGAGUGCGGCAGAGGGGGGUGGAAUUCCGCGUGUAGCAGUGAAAUGCGUAGAGAUGCGGAGGAACACCAGUGGCGAAAGGCGGCUCACUGGACCGGUUCUGACGCUGAGGCGCGAAAGCGUGGGGAGCGAACGGG